GGGUAUAGCUCAGUUGGUAGAGCGGCGGUCUCCAAAACCGCAGGUCGCAGGUUCGAGCCCUGCUGCCC
rnacentral:tRNA from 1 species